GACUUCAUCCCCGCAGGCAAGCGCUCCGACGGCAAGCAGCGGCGCUGCAGCGCGCCCUCCAUGCCCGACAAGACCGUCUGCGAGAAGCACUACGUCCAGGCCAAGAAGCGCUCCGCGCCUUGCUCCGCCGCUCCUCAGCCUCCUCCCUCGCGCCCGCCUUCCCAUUCUCCUCCUCCGCUGCCGUCGCUCGCCUCCGCGUCGUCGAUGAGGACCCGCCCAUGGCGGCCGCGAGGCCCCUCUACGGCAGGGUCGCCGGGGAGGCGGUGUACGUGGUUGAACCGGUGUCGGCGCCCGCGCGGAGGGGGUCGCCUACGAAGGGCUGCCUCGGUGCAAUGCGGCUGGUGGCAGGACCGCGGCGGGGCUGGUCGGCAGAGGCCCACUAUGGUUUCCUGGUGGUGGCGCUGAAGGGAUAAGGAGUUGCCACCAGUGCCGGAAGGCUAGGGGUGUCAUCUGGUGUACCAGCUGUGACAGGAGAGGCUACAGUGCCAGAUGCAUCUCCAGAUGGUCUCAACUCUCAAGUCAGUACCAGCAGCAGAGUUGAAAGUUUGGUAAUUUGGGUCUCGGCUUUCCUUUUGCACCAUUUCUCUGAGGUUGCUGAUUACAGCUUUACAGCUAAGAUGAGACAGAGAUUUUUAAACAUUUCUCAGCUUAUGCUUAUAGUUUCUGUGUGCUAUAUAUCAAAACCUCCAAUUCACGACUAAGGUUAUAAAAAAAUGUGCUCCUGACGUUGCGGGACAACGUGCACAAGGUCUUCUACCCUGUCAUCGAGGUCGAGGCCGCUGCAGUUCGCGCAGACAACAACCAUCUUGGAGGGUUGGUGAGGUAUCCGGUCUCUGCAACUCUUCCACAGAUUGGAUCCAGAUUAUUCCUUACGUGGGGUGUCUUCUGGAGUUUUCCUGAGGUAUCGCCACUAGCAAGUUUUUGUGUUUUCAUAUAUGACACCAUUUUUAGGAAUACAUCUUAAUUUGUACAUGAACUUUAGAGUUUCUAAUUUAUAAUUUUAAAUUUUAGAUUAGAUACAUAUCUAUGUGUUGUUGUUUGGCGGGACCUCGAAUUAUGACGUAGUUCUAGGUUUAAUAGCAUUUGCUAGAACUAGAGAACACAUGUGUUAGAUGAUUAUGGGACUUUUAGGACUAAGGUUAGUCGAUUAUUUAAUUUUUUAUUCCAAUAAUGGAAUAAGAAACUAUGAGUGGGUAUUGUAACAAGUUUCUACAACAGGCGUAUUAGAAAUGGAUAAAUAGCGCUUUUUACCCUAUUUCAACUGGGCUAUUCUAUUAUAUUUCUGGACCUGCAAUUGGAUGUUGAUGUUAUGUUCUUGCCAUAAAGUCCAAUGUAUCGUGCUAGCUGUACACUGAUCUGUAACAGGUGAUCGACUGACUCGAGAGUUUGCCGAUGCUUGAAGAAGGACCUAAUGUGAGCUUUUACAUACUUGAUGAACAGCUUGAGAUCUUGAGCAAGGUGGGGGUCUUUUUGUACCCACUGGUCGUAGUUUUGUUGGCCAUUCACCUCUACCAAUAGGUGCUGAAUGCAGGGGAUCACAUGAUUGGUGUUGAGUGCUUAGAAGAAGAUUCUGAUGGCAAUGUUCUAUUUGUUUGAGGUUGCUUCACCAUUCCCCAAAGCACAUUGCAGCUAACCCUUUUUGUAUUUUGCAGAUUCGAUGUCGCGGGCACCCAGAUGGCAUUGCUUGUUCUUGAUUCACGACGAGAUGGAUGCGGUUUCCUUCAGAGUUCCGCCGAGCAACCUCUUGGUUUGACUCUUUUGGGAUCUUCUAGGAAUUCCAUCUUGUGAUAUCCUCCAGUUCAUCACAUGAUAAUAUACGGUUCCACUCACUAGCCCUUGCAGACUAAAAAGCUCUUGAGAAAUACUCUGUUGUAACUCUUCAUAUUUUUCUUUUGUUUAUGUAGCCUAGCACCCAGUCUGUACUGUGGUGUCCAGUUCCAUUAUCUCUGCCUUGCAUUUUAGAUUUUGGUUGUGAUUGGGAUACUAUCUUAAAGCUGCUUACUUGCUUGUGGUGUCUAAUUUUAGAAUGUAUUGCAUUUUGAUGCUUUAAAAGAAUUGAGGGACACUGUAUUGCUUUUUCUUAAUUAUGUGAUGUUUUUAGGUUCCUAGAGCAAGGUGCCUAUAUUAGUGUGACCAUCCAGUUUGACUGUUGCACUACUUGAUUCAAGUUGUGUUUUCCUUAUGAAAAAUAGAUGGAUUCUUUAGCUAAGAUGAACUGUCGACACCUAAAAUGCCACUGGAAGUAGUUUGGAAUGUGCAUAUGUUAGUGUGAUCAUACAGUUUCAUUGUUACACAGCCUGAUUAAAGCAACCUUUUCCUUAUGUAAAAAGAUGGUUUCUUUAGCAUGUGUUGAACUGCUAACACUUAAAAUGCCACUAGAAUUAGAUUUGAAUGAUAGUUUUGUAUGAACACAUUUAUGUACGAGUUAUAUAUAUGCUUUAGUUGUAGUGGUCAUUUUGAUAACUAGAAUUUCAUAUCAUGGUUGACUGAUGCUCAAGUGAGAAGAACAUCCAUUAGUGAGCAAAACUAAAAGUUGCAGUUGCUCUGAAGGAACAAUCUAUGUGGCCUUCGCCUCUUUUGAUCGGAAACUUGUUCCUCUAAUCACCUGAAGGAACAACUGACAAUCUGAAACUUGUUGAGCCUUCAUGAUAUAAAGAAACAAUGGUGAUAUGUGCAACACCUGUUCGCAUUGGUCAGCACAACACUUGCUUCAGCUAUAGGGUUUUGUAUUUUUUGUAUAAAGCAUACAUGUGCAUUGGUCAGUAUGUGCCAUGUAUCUUUUCCACUACAUAGCAUACAUGUAAUGUGUGAUCAAAAUUUCUAGCCUUCAACUCUAAUGUUUUUGGCAUUAUGGUUACUUUGGAAGAACUUGUUAAGCUAUGUGUGGUGUGCACUGUGUCUGCUUCCAACAAUUGGGUUAUGUUCAGUGUUAAGUAUCUAGAUUAUACUUAAGUAAACGACAUGCUCUUCCUCUCCUCAUCGCAAUAUGUUGAUUGGAUUAGAUUUCAUUUUGGCAUAUUUUUAUAAUAUUUGUCUUGCUUGCAACACCAUCUGGAGCCCUUCCGUGAACCAGCAUGAGUGGACAAUACUGGUGGGUAGCCACAUGCACAAAAGAGGAAAAAUGGUCUUUUUUCCUUCAUGAUUUAAUUAUUGUGUCUUCACAUAUACAUGGUUGAAAUUGUCCUCCAUUAAAACUCUUUUGGUAUACAUGCAUACUGAGAAGUUGUCAUAUUUUCUAUAAUUUUAUAACUACUAAUUAUCGAAUAAUGUCUUAGGGACCAUUUGUUUCCCUUCACUUUGAAAAUCGAAAUCUAAGUAAUGGAAUAGGGUAUCUUUUUAGAAUGUGACAUUCCAUAACUUUUCAAAGUUUAUAUAUAAGUCUAUCUCAAAUUUAUGGGGUAAGAGAUGGAAAAUGAUUAUAUAGAUUUACAUGCUACUUUCCUAAUGUACAACUUAUAACACACUCGUCUAUUGCUUCUCUAUAGUAUAAAUAUAGCGUAUAACUAUCUCUCUUAUAUGAUUUAGGAUAAUAUAUAAAUAUAUUAUAUGUACAAAUAUAUUAACUUAAUUAGUUUUGUCUAAAUUAUAAUUAGUAAAAUGAAAUUUAAUUCCAACCAAACAAACGGGCCUUAAUGAUUUUUUGGAUAGUUUUGAGAUGUGUUUAUGUAUGGCUAGAAUUACAAAUGGUUUACGAAAUCUUUUCUCAUAACAGUAUAACAUACAUUUGUAUAUAAGUAAGUUAUCAUGAUAUUAUAUGUUCCCGUUGCAACGCACGGGCACUCACCUAGUAU